AUCCUGAUUAAAUAUUUAUCUACAUUUUUAUAUGGCAUGACUAAAUGAUACCGAGAAAAUAAAAAAGGUUAAAAAUUCCAAUCUACUUCAUUAUUUCAUUCCAUAAUUCAAAGUUGACGUGUUUCUAUUUGCUUCCACACACCCAUCACCCAUUCAAUUGCAAGUUUACAUGAUUUCAUUAGCUCCCAACCCCCAUCCCAUCCCCCUUAGCUGGUCCUUCAAGCAAACUCACAUCAAUUGCAAUGGUUGGGUCCACCGCAUUUUACAGAAUCCGAUUCUCUUUUAUAAUUCCAUCACAGCUCACUUGAUGACAACUGCGACCUUUACCUCUCCUGCUAAGAUUCCUCCCUUACAUUCCCACUCCUUUAAAAUCCCACAACUGGAAAAACCUUAAAGCCUAUAUAUAAUCUCAUUCCUUCCAUUCGAUCCACCCCGAAUUAUAUCUAAUAACAUUCGAAAACAAAAUAUCAUGCAGGCAACUCCAGUUCACACUCAUUAUUGUGUUUUCGUGGGAUGGGUUCCUGGGGUCUACACUUCCAUGGACGACGUUGGGCUUCAAAUACAAGACUUUGACGAUACUCGCUGGAUGGCCUACAGCACACAGGAGGAGGACGAGGAGGCAUAUCAUGCUUUCGUUGGCGUGUGGUGACCCACAAAACGGAAGAAGACUGGUACUGAAUAGAAAAGUUUGGGCACCAAUGCAGCCACCCUCAGUACGCGCUAAGGAGCGACUAGCUAUCCAUGCAUUAGGCACUCGAUUCCUGCAGCUACUGCACCUGAAUAAUGAUAACCAACCCAGUAAGUAUGCUAUCACUCAUCCCUCAACUUCCGUCUGCAGCAACAUAACUCAUUACUAUUUUCUCUCUGCUAAUUUCUGCUUACGUGCAGCCCACCAUCUUGUUCCACCUAAGCCAAAGCGCUGGGAAGUUAUUUCCGUCCGCAUGACAAAGAUGCUGAAGAAGGCCUGCACCAGACUAAACAUAACGGAACCUAUCUAUCGUUCAAUGAUGAAUAACACACACCAUGGUCGCCGACUUCACCGUCACCUAGUCGCGGUCGUCCCUCCUGGGAGCUCCGAGGCAAUUGUUUCUGAAGGCCGAUUCGCAUACGAUGCCGCAGUUAGCAAGGAAGACUGUGCUCGCCUCUGCAUUCGCCACCUAUGCCGGGCUGUGGAUGGUUACGUAUACGAUUACAACUUUGAUCUUGUACUUCGGUGGAAAGAAAGAUACCUUGAUCUGGCUCGUGAGUUGGGAGCUACCCAGGCCAGAUUAGAGGAAGUCGAACGUUACAAGGAUGCGUUACGCAAUGCCCUUUAUAAUUCCGGCAGAACCGCUCAUUCCUCACAGGAAGCAACACAUCCCCUGGACGAAGAUCCUACUGUGUAGGUAGCAUUACUGGUGGGGUUCGGGUUCUUCUACAAGUCGUGAUUUCCUGUCAUAACUGGUUCAUUGCCAAUCCAUUCUAUUUUCAUUUUUCUCUUCGUACUACUUGUUGUAACAGACUCGUGAACGCGCGAUUGGGAUUGACGGUGUCGAGGUGGAUGUACGAGCAGUGGACGACACCAAUUUGGGCAACGGUAAUGGGACUCGAAGCGGCGUGGUCGCGAUGGAGAGGGUGAAGUUCACGGAUUCAGCACCGACAGCGGUGAGGGUACCGCGACCACCACCACAACCACCACAUCUGAACUCUCACGCGGUGCCCACGAUGCUACAACGCUAAACAGAGGAGGCGGCACCGACGAGGAAGAAGCAACAGAUUAGCGAUGCUUGAAGCGAGGCCUUCCUAGACGAACGCCGUCGCGGCUGCAACUCGGUCAUGGUGUGUUUCUCCGAUUGUGGCCAAGCCACCACCACUAAUGGCGGCAGUGCUCCAUUGGGAGCGUGAGAAUGGGAUCACACCAGA